UAGGCGGCAUAGCAAGUCAGGGGUGAAAACUUGUGGCUCAACCAUAAGCUUGCCUUUGAAACUGUGAUGCUAGAGUAUNGGAAAGGUGGGCGGAACUACACGAGUAGAGGUGAAAUUCGUAGAUAUGUGUAGGAAUGCCGAUGAUGAAGAUAGCUCACUGGACGAUAACUGACGCUGAAGUGCGAAAGCUAGGGGAGCGAACAGGAUUAGAUACCCUGGUAGUCCUAGCUGUAAACGAUGAUCACUGGGUGUGGGCAGGAAGACUGUCUGUGCCGAAGCAAAUGCGAUAAGUGAUCCGCCUGGGGAGUACGACCGCAAGGUUGAAACUCAAAGGAAUUGACGGGGACCCGCACAAGCGGUGGAGCAUGUGGUUUAAUUCGACGCAACGCGAGGAACCUUACCAGAUCUUGACAUCCUCAGAAGAUAGUAGAAGUACUAUUGUGCCUUUGGGAACUGAGAGACAGGUGGUGCAUGGCUGUCGACAGCUCGUGUCGUGAGAUGUUGGGUUAAGUCCCGCAACGAGCGCAACCCUUAUCGUUAGUUACCAUCAUUAAGUUGGGGACUCUAGCGAGACUGCCUGCGAAGAGCAGGAGGAAGGUGGGGAUGACGUCAAGUCAUCAUGCCCCUUAUGAUCUGGGCUACACACGUGCUACAAUGGGCAGUACAAAGAGGAGCGAGAUGGUGACAUGGAGCAAAUCUUGAAAGCUGUUCUAAGUUCGGAUUGAAGUCUGCAACUCGACUUCAUGAAGUUGGAAUCGCUAGUAAUCGCAAAUCAGCAAUGUUGCGGUGAAUACGUUCUCGGGUCUUGUACACACCGCCCGUCACACCACGAGAGUUGUUUGCACCUGAAGUUACUGGUCUAACCGUAAGGAGGAA
rnacentral:rRNA from 1 species